ensembl:lncRNA
CACACACACACACACACACACACACACACACACCCCAACUGUGAAUAUGAGGAAAAACAUGAAUCUGUUAUAUAAUCGUAGUAAUUUUUCUUUUUUCUUUUUUUUUCUUUUUUUUUUUGAGGUUACAGGUGUUGCAGCAGCUGCUAUUGCUUAUGUUGUGAAAGUAAUGAGCCUCUCUUUCCUGUCAUCCUCAGGAAUGUGCUAACACUUGAACCUGAGAGCAGAUGAAGUAGGAAAUGAACACAACCAAACAUGAUGGAGAGAGAAGAAGAUAGAUGGAUGUAUAGUACAAGAGCCUUUUCUCGUUCCAUCAGCUCAGAUGGCUGUCAGGGAGGGUGAGCAGGAGGGAGGGAAAGGGAAGCUGACACCAUCAUCCCUCCCCUUGAACGAAACAACAUGUUAAUUACAGCGAAUCAGUAAGCUGUUGCUGAAAUAAAUAGCACCAUUCUGUGAUACUCUACUGUGAAUGCAAAAAAACAGCUGAAAAAAGCCAGACUGAAGCCAGCACUUUCCUCUUUGACAGUCCCGUCUUUUAAUUGGUGAUUCUACAGAUAAUUACAUGAGGUGUUGCUUGUAGCUGGAGGCGGCCGGCACCUCCUGGUCUUUAGAGGAUUCUAUAAAUUCCCCUGCCCUUUUUUCGCUUGAGUCACCAGUUGGCUGCGCUCUCACGUGAUUCCUCACAAUUUUUGUUACACCUGAAAGAUUUACUUUCUUGUACUUAUGUCUUUACAUUUUUAUCAGGGCUGUCAUGAUGUUAAAUGUUAGUUUAAUUAAUUGCAUUGAAUGCAGAUUUAUUACACAUAUAUCGAUAUAUGUGUAGUGCAUGUGUAAUGUUUAUUCAGUGAUUUCCUUAUGUGCCACAGUAGUGUGACAUCUGUGUGUUUCUUCAUUUAUAUAAUACUUAUUUAUGUAUUAUCUUAUUUAUAUAAUGCUGUCAUUGUCAUGUGACUUACAGUACAACAUCACUGUCAUUGACAUCUCUUCUCUCGUGGUCUCUUGGGAUAGUAAAGUGUCCAUUGAAUGUGUACUUCACAAUCUCGUUGGAAGUAGUAAGUCAUCCAGCAGUUUGUGCUGUACUUCCUGACAUUCUGACCAUUUGAGACCAACAUGGCAAUAUAUAAACUAAAAGGCAAUUCUUGUUUGUAUUUGAAGGACACUGGCCUGCUCUUUUUUUAUCCUCUCCUGUGGUGGAUGGUUGUAGUCAGUUAUUACUGACACUCAUCUCACGAGGCACCAACAUUUGUGAAGGGUCAGAGGGGAAAGUACGAGAACUGUAUCCAAUCAUGUGCUGUGAGACCUCGAUCAAAAUGUACAACCUGCCUCUGAAUAUAAUAUGCUGUACACUCAGCACACAUUCACACAAACACAAAGUGGACAAACAGAAGUAGUUUCCUAUUAAAUUCCCUUAAGAAAAACAGACAGAAGUCUUGCUCAUUAAAAGUGUUUUAUUUCAGUUUGAUUAGUCAUAUAUUAGUGAAGUUUUUCUGCACUUCCUUGCGCAAUACAAGCUGUUGUUUACAUAAAUUUGCUUUUUUGAUAUAGCCAUGUAGACUUCUUUUAAAAAGCAUAUUUUUAUUGUAAACAGCCAUGAGCUUUAAGCUGUUCUUCCUCCUUGCCCUGACUGUUAAAUAAAUUGACUUUAAAAUAAAUAAUUCUGACAAGUUAUCUUUGUCUGAAUCAAAUAGAGGUCACACAGUACACUUUACAAUAAACCAUAUUUAAACACCUUGGGAUAUUUCAUUCUUGUCUAAUCACAGCCUAUAAUGCAUGUUUGUCAUUACUAAGCAUAUACAGCAGUGCUGCAAAUGUUCCCUACAUCAGCAUGCAAGUGGAAUGUAAUUACCAUUUGAUACAGUUAUGGGUCGGCAGCACACAGACAACCAACUGUAGCAGUUACAGUGAUGCAGGAGUCCUGUAAUGUGAUGCAAGUGGCGAACAAUCCCAUAGUUCAGUGGUCAUUGCGAUUUUUGGGUUGCUUUGC